rnacentral:rRNA from 1 species
UACGUAGGCAGCGAGCGUUGUUCGGAAUUACUGGGCGUAAAGAGUGUGUAGGCGGUGUUCCAAGUUCGGUGUGAAAUCUCCCGCUUAACUGGGAGGGUGCGCCGAAAACUGGAAUGCUCGAGCGUGGGAGAGGAAAGCGGAAUUCCUGGUGUAGCGGUGAAAUGCGUAGAUAUCAGGAGGAACACCGGUGGUGUAGACGGCUCUCUGGACCGUAACUGACGCUGAGGCACGAAAGCGUGGGUAGCAAACAGG